CUGAGAGUGGGCUUUGUGGUUUCAAAUUCUCAAACCAGUGACUCACUCUCUCUCCCUGCUGUUUGUAUCCAGAUGUAAUGCUUUCUGCUCCUUCUCCAGCACCAUGUCUGCCUGCAUGCUGCCUUGCUUCCUGCCAUGACAAUAAUGGACUAAACCUCUGAAACUUUAUUCGUUGCCAGCAGUUUCUCAGUACGUGUAGGACUGGAAAACCAUCUACUGCAUCAAUGCUGGAAUUUUGGCUGGCUUAAUCUUUGUAGGCCUUAUGGAGACAGGAGCCUAGCAUGGCUGCCCUCCAAGAGGCCC
ensembl:lncRNA